UUUUAUUUUGCCCUAUAGAAAACAAGAACCCAUAACAGAGUUUUUCUUCCCAUUCAUACAGAUUUUAGGAAGGCACUGCUUUUUCCCUUGGAGAAAUAAUCUACAGACAAAAAAGCAGUACCACCUUGUGAAAUGGGUGAUUGCCGAAGUCAGUAGCUUGGAGACGACCCCCAAGGGCAGGGAAGCAAACACACUUGUUGCAAGAAUUAGACCCUGAGCUGUGGAAACGGAUCACUUCUGUUUUCAACACCAUGGACCCGGAGUACACAACAAGGAAACGAAGGCUCAGAGGCAUCAAAUAACUGGGUCCACAUUACUUGGCUAAUAAGUGGCGAAGCUAAAUGUUCGGCCCCUGUAGACACUCUUCACCUGCGCACUCAGACAACAGUAGCGUCAUCAAAGAGAGCAGCUCCUGAAGUGACACAAGUGAG
rnacentral:lncRNA from 1 species